GGGGGCGAGAUUCAACAGGUCGCUAGGAAAAGGAACGCUGCAGACGGGCCGCUCUUCUCCGAAAAUACCUGAUCGUUUGCUAAACGUGUAGAUGCCUGCGCUGAAGGCGUUUCGGACAGGGGUUCGACUCCCCUCGCCUCCACCA
rnacentral:tRNA from 1 species